ACUGAGUGUACGACACCUCAGUAGUGCUGUAGACUCCUGCUUGUUUUGUGAGAAAGUCAACCUUGAAGAGUUGUGUAUGGG
ensembl:snoRNA SNORD39 Small nucleolar RNA SNORD55/SNORD39